UGAGGAAUCUUGGACAAUGGGGGCAACCCUGAUCCAGCCAUGCCGCGUGAACGAUGAAGGCCUUAGGGUUGUAAAGUUCUUUCAACGGUGAAGAUAAUGACGGUAGCCGUAGAAGAAACCCCGGCUAACUCCGUGCCAGCAGCCGCGGUAAUACGGAGGGGGUUAGCGUUGUUCGGAAUUACUGGGCGUAAAGCGCACGUAGGCGGACUAUUAAGUCAGGGGUGAAAUCCCGGGGCUCAACCCCGGAACUGCCUUUGAUACUGGUAGUCUAGAGUUCGAGAGAGGUGAGUGGAAUUCCGAGUGUAGAGGUGAAAUUCGUAGAUAUUCGGAGGAACACCAGUGGCGAAGGCGGCUCACUGGCUCGAUACUGACGCUGAGGUGCGAAAGCGUGGGGAGCAAACAGG
rnacentral:rRNA from 1 species